UACGUAGGUGACAAGCGUUGUCCGGAUUUACUGGGCGUAAAGAGCGCGCAGGCGGUCGAUCAAGUCGAGUGUGAAAGCCCCCGGCUCAACUGGGGAGGGUCAUUCGAUACUGAUCGACUCGAAGGCAGGAGAGGGUAGUGGAAUUCCCGGUGUAGUGGUGAAAUGCGUAGAUAUCGGGGAGGAACACCAGUGGCGAAGGCGACUACCUGGCCGGCCCUGACACUGAGACGCGAAGGCGUGGGGGAGCGAACGGGG
rnacentral:rRNA from 1 species